CCUACGGGGGGCAGCAGUGGGGGAUAUUGCACAAUGGGGGGAACCCUGAUGCAGCGACGCCGCGUGGGUGAAGGAGUGCUUCGGCAUGUAAAGCCCUAUCGGCAGGGAAGAAGCAAGACGGUACCUGACUAAGAAGCCCCGGCUAACUACGUGCCAGCAGCCGCGGUAAUACGUAGGGGGCGAGCGUUAUCCGGAUUCACUGGGUGUAAAGGGAGCGUAGACGGCCAUGCAAGCCAGGGGUGAAAGCCCGGGGCCCAACCCCGGGACUGCCCUGGGAACUGUGCGGCUAGAGUGCGGGAGGGGCAGGCGGAAUUCCUGGUGUAGCGGUGAAAUGCGUAGAUAUCAGGAGGAACACCGGCGGCGAAGGCGGCCUGCUGGACUGCGACUGACGUUGAGGCUCGAAAGCGUGGGGAGCGAACAGGAUUAGAUACCCCUGUAGUC
rnacentral:rRNA from 1 species